AUCUAAUGGUUUGGAAUUCUUCCAAAACCAUAAACAUGGAAUUUGUGUCUAAACUAUUUUCUCAUAUGCAAACAAUAGCUAAUUAAUGCUACUAAAAGAAGAUUAAAUCCUAAAUACAUCUUUCAUUCAAGUAACAGUAGCAUGUUAUACUUUUAGAAAAGCAUGUUAAUCCCAAGUGAGUUAAUCCCACUGGAAUUGCAUUUUUAUGAAUUACCAAAAUAAUUAUAUGCAUUUUCUAAGUUUAGAAAGUACAUUAAUUCGGGUUUCAAUUUCAUAACACUAAAAUAUAUACAUGACAGCACCACAUUAUGGUACUGGUCACUUCUUAUUAGUUUAUAGGAAUUUUCUAAACAAGUGUCAUAUUUAUCUAUUAUACAAAAUAAUUCUAUGCAUUUUCUAAGCAUUUAACCAAAUAAAUAGCUAAUGUUUAUAUUUUCUGCAGAAAAUAUGCAUGUAUACUUCUAAAAAAGUCUACUGGAGAAUACUAAAGUAACACAAGUUGUUUCACAUUUUUCAUAGCUAGGCAUGAUUUAUUAUGCAUUUUACAACAUUAACAUCAAUUAUAAAUGGACUGAAAUGGUUUUUAUAUGUUACCACAAAAAUAUUACAAACACCUCAUCUCAUAUAUCACAUGAUUAAAUACUACACUAAAUUAUCUAACUAAUGCAAGUAGUUUGGUAUUUUUCUGAAUUUAUUUGAAUUAGUUAUGAAAUUUACAAGAUUAAACCUAAUUUCUGGAAAAUUGCUAUUGUUUUAAUAACUGAACAGUGGCUGACAUGUGGGGCCCAUUGUCAGGAAUUUAAUCAUUUUGCAAAAAUGAAAAAGGCUACUGUUCUUCUUGGGCUGAAGCUAGAAAUAGUAAUGGGCCUCGGGCCUUUUUCUUUUAUUUUCUUCAUUUUUAGUUUGGGCCAAGGGGCAGUGGGCCGAGGGAAUUUGGGCUGGUAGAGGACUC
rnacentral:lncRNA from 1 species